rfam:Pseudozyma antarctica T-34 DNA, contig: scaffold00007.
GGCCGCUUGGCGUAGUGGUAUCGCGCUUGCUUUGGGUUACUUAGCGCGAAUGCAAGAGGUCACGAGUUCGAUCCUCGUAGCGGCCC